AACCAUUCUCACCUGCGGCUAGACCUGCGGAAGGAUCAUUACAGAGUUAUCCAACUCCCAAACCCAUGUGAACUUAUCUCUUUGUUGCCUCGGCGCAAGCUACCCGGGACCCCGCGCCCCGGGCGGCCCGCCGGCGGACAAACCAAAACUCUUGUUAUCUUAGUUGAUUCUCUGAGCGUCUUAUUUAAUAAGUCAAAACUUUUAACAACGGAUCU
rnacentral:misc_RNA from 1 species